rnacentral:tRNA from 1 species
GGGUAAAUGGCGAAAUGGUAAACGCAGCGCACUCAAAAUGCGCCGACUCUCAAUCUUGAGGGUUCAAAUCCCUCUUUACCCA